rnacentral:tRNA from 1 species
UCCCUAGUGGCUCAGAUGGUAAAGAAUCUGCUUGCAAUGCAGGAGACCCAGGUUCAAUCCCUGGGUCGGGAA